GAGCAGGGAAACGAAGAUGGAAAGAGUCCUGAAGGCAGAGGCUACAGUCAAGCAAAGACGCCACAGGGAUUUGAACCCUGUCCUGGAAACCAGGAGUGCCAAUCACUAGCAUCUUUUGCUUUUUU